AUUGGUGAGUUACUUCAUCAGGAAUCUAGGC
rnacentral:piRNA from 1 species